ensembl:snRNA U1 U1 spliceosomal RNA
UUAGCUACCUGGCAGUGGAGAGACAAUGACCAGAAGCUGAUUUUCCUAGGGGAAAACUCACCGCCUGUGAUUUCCCCAGAUGCAGUAUACUCAAGUAUAUAUUUUGUUGAUAGUGGGGUUCUGCGUUCGAGCUUUCUGCUG